rnacentral:rRNA from 1 species
UACGUAGGGUCCGAGCGUUGUCCGGAAUUAUUGGGCGUAAAGAGCUCGUAGGCGGUUUGUUGCGUCGGCUGUGAAAUCCCGAGGCUCAACCUCGGGUCUGCAGUCGAUACGAGCAAACUAGAGUGUUGCAGGGGAGACUGGAAUUCCUGGUGUAGCGGUGAAAUGCGCAGAUAUCAGGAGGAACACCGGUGGCGAAGGCGGGUCUCUGGGCAGUAACUGACGCUGAGGAGCGAAAGCCGUGGGGGAGCGAACAGG